CAACACGAUGGACAACAAGAGGACAUUUAAAGUCACUGACACUCUUUACAGAUCAACGUCUGCUGGAGAUUUUGGUCAAUUAGUCAAACAAAACAAUGAAAAUUCCUGCUUAUUGUAAUUGUAAGUGCUGUGACACAUCAUCACUCAUCAAUCAAUCAAUUUAUCCAUUUUCAUUAAUACAGCUCCAAAUCCCAACAAAAGUUAUUUCACGACACUGACAGAACAGGUUCAGUCUUUAUAAUGUUAUUUACAGAGGCCCUGGCAUAAUCCACCAUGUACAAACACAUGCAAAGCUUUCUUUGUACAAGGUAGAAACCUCAGAUAGAACAAGACUCAUUUGCAGACAGCCAUCUCUUUUUAAUAGGCGGAUACCUCAAGCAGAAAACAGUCUUUUUUGGUUGUGUAUUGGGUUCAAUACUGUCACCAGUGUCACAUUCUGCCAUGACAAGAUUGCUAUACCUUCAUCACUGGUUUAACACAUUUUUUUAUUUUUAUCUAUGACUUCAAUGGACACACAACAGAGAUUUACUUCCUCAACUGAAUCGUGGCCUUUUGCUUGUUCCACUCUGACAAGUAAGAUUGGAGCCACGCCUCCUCCUCAAAGCAGGUGUCAGUGUUUACAAUGGAAGUGAAUUGAGGCACGGUAAUCAGUUUUGGAUGACUGUUGGAAAGAUUGGGGGGCAUGUAAAAGGACGAUGGAAAACAGACUUGUAUAUUCUACAUCUAUUUGUUAUGUUAAUGUGUUCUAAUAAAAAAAACAUUGAAAGUU